rnacentral:lncRNA from 1 species
AGAAUAUCUUCUCAAAUAAAUACAAUUUGCUUUGAAAGUAAAAUUGAAAAAUAAACAGACACUAAAUUGAAGCAAAUGGUAGACGGUAAUCAAAUUGUGAAGUUGGGACUCAAACUGAUUUGGUUUAUUUGGUGUAAAAGCAGCCUUCAUGAAUAAAAUACUUUUUUUUUCAGGAUUGUUGAACAUUUUUGCCGUGCAGUUAGAAUCAUCGGGUUGUAAAAUGUUCUGGCGUCUCCCUUUUGGGGGUCAUCCCAGCGAUUCAUCCAUCUGUCUCUAGUUUAAUAUUCCAGGAAAAUCGUACUCAUUUUCUGUCCGUUUUUGAGCUGAAAUCUAGCAUCUUUCAGGUUGAUGUUUAAGAUGGAAAACUACUUUAAGAUUUGAACAAUAGAAAUGACUAAAUGAAGACUCUUACAGUAUUGGUGUUUAUUUGGUAGAAGCUGAUUUAUAACUGAACAAUUGAUUGUUUUUUACCAUAGCUUUCUUUUUUUACCUUUGUAAGCUACUGAGUAGGGGAAAACUACAGAAUUUGUAAGUGUCUGUCUGUUUUGUCAUGUUUUAUGCAGGUUGGAAGGAGCUGACUAUGAAGUGCCUGCAGUGUGCGACAUGGUGGAAAUCUCAGAUUCUCUUUCUCAGACUUUGCUCCUCUCCUCCUCUUCCUCAUCCCAAAUCCUCAUCACUGAUAACCCAGAUUUUGUCGAGAACCAGCCGUGCCCUCUGACCCCAGAUCACGAGGAACUUGUCGCCAUGGAGUCGGAUGAAUACCAGCAAGAGGAGGUCAGCAGAGAAAUGGAGAAAGACCCACUGUCUGACAGCGGAUACAUUGAGUUGCAUUAUUACCAGUCUAAUGAGUUCCAGUACUUUGUGCUGCCAAGCGACUCUGAGCUGGAUCUGGAAACUGUGGAGAUCCUUCAGCUGGAUGCUGAAGCUCAAGAGGCUGCUGGAUCCCUGCUGGACCUGGCAGGUGGUGGCUACUAGCUCAUAGCUCCCUUUUGCAAUAACUUAAAAACACUGUUAACAGAAAUAUUUACACUGCCCCGUGAAUUAUGUAUUGCCGUGUGAAACUUUUUAACGAUAUUGGUCUGUAGAUGGACUAAGAUGGAGGUAACAGCAGUUCUCCUCUGGUAUUCAGCCACUUUCAGUGCACAACACAGCAUAUCAUGUAUUUCCUUUUGUAAGGGAUGCCACAUGUGUAAGAAAAAUGCAUUUGAUGAAACAGGAAUGAGUAUGUGGUUAAUAUGCUCAUGAACAAUUUAUCAUAGCAAAACCCUUUUUUUAUCAUGCUAAUUUAAUUCCAAAAUCUAAAAGUAUUUAUACAGUAAAUGUAUUGAAGUUUUAGGAUGAUCCACUCAGGGGAGGCAAAAGUCCUUCACUCUCAAACUAGCUUUAAUCUUAAACCAUAUUUACUGAGUAUAUUUUGAUUUUAAGUAGAAAAUGCACUGAAGUGAUUAAGUAAUAUGUUGCACUUAUACUUUCAUUUUAUUUAGGCCUUUAAUUUAGCUAACAGUAACAUAAUUAGCAAUAAUUGUAAUUAUGUUCAUCUUUCUAUGCUAGUUUCCUUACUGUGUGUUUUUUAUUCCUUAGAUUGUAUUUGCUUGAGUUGACACUCCUAAAAUAUGUUUUUUUUUUCAUGUUACAAAGUCCCAGUCUCAUGUCAUUAGUCAAUCAGAAAGCCAAGUAUAUCAUCUUUUAGGGCAUGUCAGUAGUAAAUUAACAAUUUGACCAUAUUUAAUUUGACAAAUUCACUGCCAUCCAAUUAAGCAUUUUGUAUUUCAAGGUGCAUUAAAGUUCUGUUCACGAAUUACUUCAUAUGAUCUCUUAUUUUUUGAUGUAACACAAUGAGUUGCUGCUCUUUUGAAUUAAAUUCUUUUUUGUUUGUUUAUUUCAAACACUUCCAAAAAUAAAAAUAAUAGAGUAUUUAAAAAAGCAUUAUGUCCACUAUUUUAACAUAAAAAAGGACAACUUGUGGAUAAAAGAGAGAGGAUUAAAAAAGUAUGUCUUUGUCACCCUUUUGAUUGUUUUGAAAUCAUAAUAUAAGUAAAAGUAUGUUAAAGGUGAUUAAAACUGAGAGAAAAAUUACAAUUUGUGAAAAGAAAUACAGAUACUACUUUCAAUACAGAUAAAGAUAAAAGUAUGCACUAAAAUUUUAUCUUACAUAUUAUUUAUUGUUUUUUCUAGAUCAUUAGAAUAAUAAUUUUAGUUAGUUUUCUGUACAAUUACAUUUUUUGUAUUAUAAAAAUCAAAUCCAUUCAUUAAAAGUGGGAUAUAUGUAAGUCUUCCUAGUUAACUUGUCACAAGAACUGGCAGACGGCUGGGUCCAAAUGCAGCAGGUUUAUAGUGCUUAUAAACCUAACUACUAAAAAACUAUCUAGUGCGGCACUAUGUAGUGCCCUAAAUUUUAAAAACAAUUUGGACACUGUGCUGACUACUUUUUCUUUUUUUUUUUAAUGGCGGAUAUGACAUCAUCGAUUUCACGAAGUUAAAAUCUAAUUUUUCUGAGCGUUUUGUGACGAUUAUUUAUGAGUCCAUUGACUUCUGAAGAUAAAAACGUUGAUGGUGUAUUAAAAAAUACAUUUAAAUACAUUUUUUUGGUAAAAAUUGUUCUGAUGAAAGGCAUUGUGGUCUAUAUUCGCUGAUCUAGUGAGCAUCAAUGCAAGAAAUAUGAGCAGGAGGCACUUCAGGCUGAUGAUUGGAUGUUUUCUGAAAAAAGUAUUGAGCAGGAGCGUCACAUUAGACAAGAGAGUCAAAAGGAAAUCAGAGAACUUGAGGAGAAGAUCCAGAAUGUGACAGAGUUCCUCAAGGGUGAAAAGAAACCAAGCUACUCAGAGGGUUACAAGGCAGUUUUAAAAGAGACAGAAAUGGUCACAAAUCAACUGCUUCAAAUCAACAAUCUAAAUUUACACAUGGAAGAUCAAAUUGGAGAAAAAAGGAGAAAAGAGAAAAUCUUGAAAUUCAGUUGGUAGAGAUGGUCUUUUUGUCCAACUUAGCUACCAACAGAAUCAGCAACCAAGCAGAGACAAUUGUGUGUGCACCUCAACAGAAGACAUUAGCACAGAUGGAAUUUGAUAGACCUGAAAGUACCUCUGGAUUGAACCAAAUGACAGACUCUGCUUGUUUUGAAACACCAAAAAGUAUUUUUACUAUUGGAGCUGCACCUAAGAAAACAACCAAUAGGAGAGCAAAGCCGGACGCCUGUUCUCAACUAAUAGACGCACUGAAAAUGAAUCCGUCUCAUCAGUUCAGUUGGGUUCAAUCAGGAGAAGCGGCCGUUAAAGUCAGCCGCAAUGCAUGCAGCUAAACAUAGGUGUAAAUAUUAGAUAACAUUAACUAGUAGGAAAAUAACUAUUUUAGUAGAUAAACAUUGAUUAGACUCACAUAAAAUUCAAUGUUAUGAAAUAGGUAGCAUUAAACCAUUUUUAAAGGUCUGACAGCUUUUUUAAAUGAAUUUAUAUUAAAUUAUUGAAUAUUAAAAAAUGUUAAUGUUUUUUACUUAACAAAUGUAAGUUGUCAUUAAUUUUAUUUAAAGAAUAUUUUUUAUUUGGAAGUGGAGAACCAAGUCUAUUUGUACAUAUUUCUUUUCCUUAAUAAUGUAGUUUCUCAACCUUCCAAUUAACAACAAAAAUUCUUUUUUAACUGCUCUGUAUUAAUUUAGUUGGUUUAUUUCUGUUUGACUUGU